rnacentral:rRNA from 1 species
AUGAUCGAGUUCAUGGAGGAGUACGGCGACUUGACGCCGAUGGAAGACUGGAAGGAGGAGCUGCUCCUAUCGAGCAUGGCGAGCAUGUGCGACGACCUGGAGACCUUCCGCGACCGCGCCGACGACAGCGAGAACGUCCGUCAGGGCCUGCAGGGAUGGCGCGGCGGCGUAGAUGCCCAGGCUCAACACAUGACCAUGGCUGCUGCUGCUGAAGCUGAAGCUGAUGGGCAGGCCAUGGCUAAGAAAGAAACUCCUCAACUGAAUUGA